CCCGCUGAACUUAAGCAUAUCAAUAAGCGGAGGAAAAGAAACUAACAAGGAUUCCCCUAGUAACUGCGAGUGAAGCGGGAAAAGCUCAAAUUUAAAAUCUGGUGGUCUUUGGCUGCCCGAGUUGUAAUCUAGAGAAGUGUUAUCCGCGCUGGACCGUGUACAAGUCUCCUGGAAUGGAGCGUCAUAGAGGGUGAGAAUCCCGUCUUUGACACGGACUACCAGGGCUUUGUGAUGCGCUCUCAAAGAGUCGAGUUGUUUGGGAAUGCAGCUCUAAAUGGGUGGUAAAUUCCAUCUAAAGCUAAAUAUUGGCGAGAGACCGAUAGCGAACAAGUACCGUGAGGGAAAGAUGAAAAGAACUUUGGAAAGAGAGUUAAACAGUACGUGAAAUUGUUGAAAGGGAAACGCUUGAAGUCAGUCGCGUUGGCCAGGGAUCAACCUUGCUUUUGCUUGGCUUACUUUCUGGUCGAUGGGUCAGCAUCAAUUUUGACUGGUGGAAAAAGUUCAAGGGAAUGUGGCAUCUUCGGAUGUGUUAUAGCCUUUGUUCACAUACAUUGGUUGGGAUUGAGGAACUCAGCACGCCGCAAGGCCGGGUUUUUAACCACGUACGUGCUUAGGAUGCUGGCAUAAUGGCUUUAAUCGACCCGUCUUGAAACACGG
rnacentral:rRNA from 1 species